AUGUGCCACAAUUAUUAUAUAGUUGUCCAAAAAUAUGAAUUCUUAAUUUUCCCAGAAAUACAUUACGUCCUAAACGCAUGACAACUGCGCUGUCGAAUUGCUGAAGUGACAGCGCAUUGCUUUCAAUAUAUGCUAAUUAGUACUUGUUGUUGUGCAUACUAAUUAGUAUUCAAUUUAUUGCAUUCCAUAAGCAAUAUGUAGUCUCCACAGGCAAUAGUCACUGCUAUAUAGUUAGCAAGAAUGAUAGAGAAAGAGAUUACGCAAUGCGCAUGUUUGCUUUCAGUCAGCUGUUCUUGCUGACGUCACGGUUGACUUAUUAUUCGCCCGCGCUAUUGAAAGUGAAUUCGAAUUGUGUUUUCAAGUGUUAUAUUAUUUGUUAAAUUCUAUAUUUUUAAAAUGCGUUGUGCAGUGUUCGGUUGUAAUAAUAACAAUGGUAAAAAUACUGCUAUGGAGUGGAGAUUUUUUCUUUUCCCUAAGGAUAAAGCCGCAUUAAAACAAUGGAUUCAAAUAAUGUACUGGAACAGAUGACGGAGCUGGUUUCAUCAAUGAGAGUCAUUGGUAAAAAUGGUUUGCUUCCAUUCCAAAAAGGUAUACUCCAAAGCAAUAAUGCUUUGAAAUUGCUGCUGGAUGACUUAAGACAGCAGCACAAAAUUGAUUACGUUUUGACCUAUCGAUUGAACCAGGAGGUUUUGGAAAUUUUUUUGGCGUAAUCAGGUCAAAAGGCGGUCUUCACGAUCACCCUGACAGGCAGAAGUUCAAAUAUAGGCUGCGUUCCUAUAUACUUGGUCACAACGAAGGAGCGAUCCCAGAAGAAGGCAAUGUUGAAGUCGACAACAUACCAGAUUUGGAAGGAAAUUACUUAUCUCUAACCGGUAAUAUUUUUCAACGUGUGUCAGUUGAUCUGAAUUCCACUGACCCAAUCGAAAAAAAUGAUGACUUGGAGAUUCUCAACAACGACGGACUUGAGAAUUUGGCAGGGUACAUUUGCCACAAAAUCGGUAAAGACAACCCCGAAAUUUGUGCCAAUUCCGAA